CAGGCCUAACACAUGCAAGUCGAACGCACCUUCGGGUGAGUGGCAGACGGGUGAGUAACACGUGGGAACGUACCCUUUGGUUCGGAACAACUCCGGGAAACUGGAGCUAAUACCGGAUACGCCCUUAUGGGGAAAGGUUUAUCUGCCGAAGGAUCGGCCCGCGUCUGAUUAGCUUGUUGGUGGGGUAACGGCCUACCAAGGCGACGAUCAGUAGCUGGUCUGAGAGGAUGAUCAGCCACACUGGGACUGAGACACGGCCCAGACUCCUACGGGAGGCAGCAGUGGGGAAUAUUGGACAAUGGGCGCAAGCCUGAUCCAGCCAUGCCGCGUGAGUGAUGAAGGCCUUAGGGUUGUAAAGCUCUUUUGUCCGGGACGAUAAUGACGGUACCGGAAGAAUAAGCCCCGGCUAACUUCGUGCCAGCAGCCGCGGUAAU
rnacentral:rRNA from 1 species